ACUGCUCAGUUAACACGUGGACAACCUACCCUAUGGAGGGGGAUAACCCCGGGAAACUGGGGAUAAUACCCCAUAGGCUAUGGAAGCUGGAAUGCUCUGUAGUCGAAAGGUCCGCCGCCAUAGGAUGGGUCUGCGGCCGAUUAGGUUGUUGUUGGGGUAACGGCCCAACAAGCCUGUAAUCGGUACGGGUUGUGGGAGCAAGAGCCCGGAGAUGGAUUCUGAGACACGAAUCCAGGCCCUACGGGGCGCAGCAGGCGCGAAAACUUUACAAUGCGGGAAACCGUGAUAGGGGAACUCUGAGUGCCCGUAAAAUCGGGCUGUCCAUCAGUUUAAAUAACUGGUGAAGAAAGGGCCGGGCAAGACCGGUGCCAGCCGCCGCGGUAAUACCGGCGGCUCGAGUGGUGGCCACUAUUACUGGGCUUAAAGCGUUCGUAGCUGGCUUGUUAAGUCUCUGGGGAAAUCUUCCGGCUCAACCGGAAGGCGUCUCAGGGAUACUGGCAGGCUAGGGACCGGGAGAGGUGAGAGGUACUCCAGGGGUAGGAGUGAAAUCCUGUAAUCCUUGGGGGACCACCUGUGGCGAAGGCGUCUCACCAGAAUGGCUCCGACAGUGAGGGACGAAAGCUGGGGGAGCAAACCGGAUUAGAUACCCGGGUAGUCCCAGCUGUAAACGAUGCACGUUAGGUGUAUCGGUGACCACGAGUCACCGAGGUGCCGAAGAGAAAUCGUGAAACGUGCCGCCUGGGAAGUACGGUCGCAAGGCUGAAACUUAAAGGAAUUGGCGGGGGAGCAC
rnacentral:rRNA from 1 species